UUGACAUCCAGAGAACUUUCCAGANAUGGAUUGGUGCCUUCGGGAACUCUGANACAGGUGCUGCAUGGCUGUCGUCAGCUCGUGUUGUNAAAUGUUGGGUUAAGUCCCGCAACGAGCGCAACCCUUAUCCUUUGUUGCCAGCGGUUCGGCCGGGAACUCAAAGNAGACUGCCAGUGAUAAACUGGAGGAAGGUGGGGAUGACGUCAAGUCAUCAUGGCCCUUACGAGUAGGGCUACACACGUGCUACAAUGGCGUAUACAAANANAAGCGACCUCGCGAGAGCAAGCGGACCUCAUAAAGUACGUCGUAGUCCGGAUUGGAGUCUGCAACUCGACUCCAUGAAGUCGGAAUCGCUAGUAAUCGUAGAUCAGAAUGCUACGGUGAAUACGUUCCCGGGCCUUGUACACACCGCCCGUCACACCAUGGGAGUGGGUUGCAAAANAAGUAGGUAGCUUAACCUUCNGNAGGGCGCUUACCACUUUGUGAUUCAUGACUGGG
rnacentral:rRNA from 1 species